GCGGGGGUCGCCAAGCCUGGUCAAAGGCGCAGGGCUUAGGACCCUGUCCCGUAGGGGUUCGUGGGUUCAAAUCCCACCCCCCGCA
rnacentral:tRNA from 4 species